AGCGAACGUUGGCGAUGCGUCUUAAGCAUGCAAGUCGAGCGAGCGGCGAACUGGUGAGUAACACGUAGGUAAUCUGCCGUAGAGUGGGGGAUAACCCAUGGAAACAUGGACUAAUACCGCAUAUAGAAAGCCGCUUUACGAUGAGCCUGCGGCCUAUUAGCCUGUUGGUGAGAUAAAAGCCCACCAAAGCUACGAUAGGUAGCCGACCUGAGAGGGUGACCGGCCACAUUGGGACUGAGAUACGGCCCAGACUCCUACGGGAGGCAGCAGCUGAGAAUCUUCCACAAUGGACGAAAGUCUGAUGGAGCGACAUCGCGUGAGGGAUGAAGGCCUUCGGGUUGUAAACCUUGGAAAUUAUCGAAGAUGACAGUAGAUAAUGUAAGCCUCGGCUAACUACGUGCCAGCAGCCGCGGUAAUACGUAGGAGGCAAACGUUGCUCGGAUUUACUGGGCGUAAAGGGUGAGUAGGCGGAACUAUAAGUCUAAGGUGAAAUAUCGAAGCUCAACUUCGGAGACGCCUCGGAUACUGUGGUUCUUGGAUAUUGUAGGGGAUGAUGGAAUUCUCGGUGUAGCGGUGGAAUGUAUAGAUAUCGAGAAGAACACCUAUAGCGAAGGCAGUCAUCUGGGCAUAUCGACGCUGAAUCACGAAAGCUGGGGGAGCAAACAGGCUUAGAUACCCUGGUAGUCCCAGCCGUAAACGUUGCACACUAGGUGCUCCUAGGCGUGCCGUAGCUAACGUCUUAAGUGUGCCGCCUGAGGAGUAUGCCCGCAAGGGUGAAACUCAAAGAAAUUGACGGGUCCCCGCACAAGUGGUGGAGCAUGUGGUUUAAUUCGAUGAUACGCGAAAAACCUUACCUGGGUUUGAAUUGCAUAGGUGCUGCAUGGCUGUCGUCAGCUCGUGUCGUGAGAUGUUGGGUUAAGUCCCGCAACGAGCGCAACCCUUACCCUUUGUUGCUACCGAUCGGGCACUCUUAGGGGACCGCCUACGUUAAGUAGGAGGAAGGUGGGGAUGAUGUCAAGUCCUCAUGGCCCUUAUGUCCAGGGCUACACACGUGCUACAAUGGCAACCAAAGAGAAGCGAGACCGCGAGGUGGAGCAAAUCUCAAGUUGCCUCAGUUCGGAUGGAGUCUGAAACUCGACUCCAGAAGUUGGAAUCACUAGUAAUCGUAGAUCAGAACGCUACGGUGAAUACGUUCCCGGGGAUUGUACACACCGCCCGUCACGCCAUCGGAGUUGGUUUUACCUGAAGUCGUUGCCUAGGGCGGCGCCGA
rnacentral:rRNA from 2 species